rnacentral:rRNA from 1 species
UACAGAGGUCUCAAGCGUUGUUCGGAUUCAUUGGGCGUAAAGGGUGCGUAGGCGGCGCGGUAAGUCGGGGUGUGAAAUUUCGAGGCUUAACUUCGAAAACUGCAUUCGAUACUGCCGUGCUAGAGGACUGGAGAGGAGACUGGAAUUUACGGUGUAGCGGUGAAAUGCGUAGAUAUCGUAAGGAAGACCAGUGGCGAAGGCGGGUCUCGUGGACAGUUCCUGACGCUGAGGCACGAAGGCCAGGGGGAGCAAACGGG